UACGUAGGGGGCAAGCGUUGUCCGGAAUUAUUGGGCGUAAAGAGCUCGUAGGCGGUUUGUCGCGUCUGCCGUGAAAGUCCGGGGCUCAACUCCGGAUCUGCGGUGGGUACGGGCAGACUAGAGUGAUGUAGGGGAGACUGGAAUUCCUGGUGUAGCGGUGAAAUGCGCAGAUAUCAGGAGGAACACCGGUGGCGAAGGCGGGUCUCUGGGACGGUACUGACGCUGAGACGCGAAAGCGUGGGGAGCGAACAGG
rnacentral:rRNA from 1 species